rnacentral:rRNA from 1 species
AGGGUUUGAUUCUGGCUCAGGACGAACGCUGGCGGUGCGCCUUAUGCAUGCAAGUUGAGCGAAGCUUUUUGGUAGUUUACUACUAGAAAUGACUGAGCGGCGAACGGGUGAGUAACGCGUGAGCAAUCUACCUUAGUUACUGGGAUAGCCCGAGGAAACUCGGAUUAAUACCGGAUAUUCUUAUUUUUUCACAUGAAGUUUUAAGGAAAGGUCAGCCGAACUAAGAUGAGCUCGCGUUCUAUCAGCUAGUUGGUGGGGUAAAAGCCUACCAAGGCUACGACGGAUAGCUGGUCUGAGAGGACGAUCAGCCACACUGGGACUGAGACACGGCCCAGACUCCUACGGGAGGCUGCAGCAGGGAAUAUUGUGCAAUGAGCGAAAGCUUGACACAGCGACACCGCGUGUGGGAUGACGGUUCUAGGAUUGUAAACCACUUUCAGGAGGGAAGAAAAUGACGGUACCUCCACAAGAAGACCCGGCCAACUAUGUGCCAGCCGCCGCGGUAAUAC